rnacentral:rRNA from 1 species
CCUACGGGGGGCUGCAGUGGGGAAUAUUGGACAAUGGGGGGAACCCUGAUCCAGCCAUGCCGCGUGUGUGAAGAAGGCCCUCGGGUUGUAAAGCACUUUUAGUGAGGAAGAACGCCUGGUGGUUAAUACCCAUCAGGAAAGACAUCACUCACAGAAGAAGCACCGGCUAACUCCGUGCCAGCAGCCGCGGUAAUACGGAGGGUGCGAGCGUUAAUCGGAAUUACUGGGCGUAAAGCGCGCGUAGGUGGCUUGAUAAGCCGGUUGUGAAAGCCCCGGGCUCAACCUGGGAACGGCAUCCGGAACUGUCAAGCUAGAGUGCAGGAGAGGAAGGUAGAAUUCCCGGUGUAGCGGUGAAAUGCGUAGAGAUCGGGAGGAAUACCAGUGGCGAAGGCGGCCUUCUGGACUGACACUGACACUGAGGUGCGAAAGCGUGGGUAGCAAACAGGAUUAGAUACCCCUGUAGUC